GUGGGGAAUCUUCCGCAAUGGACGAAAGUCUGACGGAGCAACGCCGCGUGAGUGAAGAAGGUUUUCGGAUCGUAAAGCUCUUUCGUUAGGGACGAACGUGCUCUUUGUGAAUAAUGAGGAGUAAUGACGGUACCUAAAUAAGAAGCCACGGCUAACUACGUGCCAGCAGCCGCGGUAAUACGUAGGUGGCAAGCGUUGUCCGGAAUUAUUGGGCGUAAAGCGCGCGCAGGCGGGAUAUCAAGUCUGUCUUAAAAGUGCGAGGCUCAACCUCGUGAGGGGACAGAAACUGGUAUUCUUGAGUGUCGGAGAGGAAAGUGGAAUUCCAAGUGUAGCGGUGAAAUGCGUAGAUAUUAGGAGGAACACCAGUGGCGAAAGCGGCUUUCUGGACGACAACUGACGCUGAGGCGCGAAAGCCAGGGGAGCAAACGGGAUUAGAAACCCUGGUAGUCC
rnacentral:rRNA from 1 species